UACGUAGGGCGCAAGCGUUGUCCGGAAUUACUGGGCGUAAAGAGCUCGUAGGCGGUUUGUUAAGUCCGCUGUGAAAACCCAGGGCUUAACCCUGGGCUUGCAGUGGAUACGGGCAGACUAGAGGCAGGUAGGGGAGAAUGGAAUUCCCGGUGUAGCGGUGAAAUGCGCAGAUAUCGGGAGGAACACCGGUGGCGAAGGCGGUUCUCUGGGCCGGACCUGACGCUGAGGAGCGAAAGCGUGGGGAGCGAACAGG
rnacentral:rRNA from 1 species